rnacentral:rRNA from 1 species
UACGAAGGGGGCUAGCGUUGCUCGGAAUCACUGGGCGUAAAGGGUGCGUAGGCGGGUCUUUAAGUCAGGGGGGAAAUCCUGGAGCUCAACUCCAGAACUGCCUUUGAUACUGAAGAUCUUGAGUUCGGGAGAGGUGAGUGGAACUGCGAGUGUAGAGGUGAAAUGCGUAGAUAUCUGGAGGAACACCGGUGGCGAAGGCGACAUCCUGGACCGGCAUUGACGCUGAGGCGCGAAAGCCAGGGGAGCAAACGGG